rnacentral:lncRNA from 1 species
UAAUGAGCUUCAACCCCAGGACUUCUUGCAGGAACUGCAAGAAAAUAAGUGUGAAGGAAUUUUCCACCACCAUUGAGAAAAUGAUAAAUUAUAAGCUUGAUCUACUGGUGAUCUCAUUUUUGCUACUACAAUGAAGAACAUGCUUAUUAAAGAAGCCUCCACAGAGGAAGGCAGAGAUGGAGUCCUGGUGUUUUAUUGUAAUCGGGACCAAACCAUGCCUAAAGUCAAUAUAUUCCACAUUUGUCCCAGUUACGUAAGCCAGUCAAGUUACUUUUCUGUUUAAUCCAGUUGAAAUAUACUUCUGUCACUUGCAAUUUAAAAAGUACUAACAAACACCAUCAUUUGAAAAGGAAAAUUAUGGUCAAAAAAGAUACUAAUCCGGGGGGCAAGGGGAUACCACAUGAAAAAAUUUACCAGAUCCUAUGGUUGAAGAAUAAUCUGACCGAAGCCCAGCUGCAUUGAAAAAGAGAAUAGAAAGAGACUAUUAGUCCCAGAACUUUGUUUUACUAGAAUUUUGUUCAGGAAAAUUUAUUUUCAGUACUUCUUGAUAACAUUCAAGCCCAUUUAGGAUUGUGCUUGAAAAUAAUCUAGUAGGGGAUGGAUAAAUUGUAAAUACGUAUUUUAGAUUAAAUAGGGUAGCCAAGAAUUGAUAGUUGUUGAAGCUAAGGAUGUAUGAGAAUUCAUUUUUCUAUUCUCUUUACUUCUGUAUAUUUGGACUAAUUUAGUAUAAGUCUUAAACAUUUUUUAAAGGUAAGAAAGCAACCAAAUAAUAAUUAAUCUUAUGACUGAAAUAGUAAAUGCAGUGCAGAAUUAUCCACUAGAGAUUUUUUAUGUAACAAACUUUUCAUUUAUCAGCCACUUAUCAUAUGCCUAGCAUACAUAUAUUUGUAUAUGUGUGUAUACAUAUGUGUGUGUGUGUGUGUGUGUGUAUGAAGUAUACUUUGGAAACUCAAUUGCUAUAUGUUUUGUUCCCAGUUCUAUUGUUGAAUUGUUGUACUAUACAUAAUAUUUGGCAACUUCUUUAACCAACAUAGCUCUGAUGCCUUUGGCUAAUCCUGUGCCACUGGGAUUGUGGAAGAGACUACUUCAUUACAUCUCUGGCUAUGAUAAUAGUCCUAAGGAAUGCUAUGGGAAGCAAUGCUUAAACACAAAUUACCCAACAAUCACCAUUUAGUACCACAGAGUCCAUGUCCACAGCCAGCCCCUGCAAGCUCCCCACAGAAGUUCGGUUUAUAAUGCUCGUCUGGAUGGAGUCCUUCAAGAUGGCUGCCACACAGUCCUCACAGAAGAUGUGGCCCUUGGCAUGUGGCAUGACAAACACAACCCAAAAGUGGACAAGGAGGCCACCUUUGUUGUUGCUGCUACAGGGGAAAAAGAGAGAUGUUCAAGGAUAUCUCUUAGGAAGUAGACUUUCUUAGGAAAGAGACCCAACUGACAGAUUCAAAGACAAUAAGCACAUCCUUCAACUGAACCUAACUCCCUUCUUUAGGUAGUCAUUGGCUCCUAUUAUGGGGAUUAGAAAGAGAAAGCAUCACAUUAUGUAUUCUAAUUAUUAUGUUAGAAUUCAAAUCUAGAACCAUUACUAUACUAUUUCCGUGGAUAUGAAUCAGUAUUUGCUGUCAUUAAAAAUAACAGUUUUAACAUGUUUGGUACCUGGCCACGUUUGAUACAGUGCCAAAUCGGCUUUAUCUCAUUUAAUCUUAUGAAAAAAGUCUUAGUGUUUUUCCAGUUUGACAGAUGAGGAAAUUGAAGCCAAAUACAUUCACAACCACACAGCUAGUUAGUAGUAGUAGAGAAAUUAAGCCCAAUUUGAUUUUCAAUCUGACCCCAGAGCUUAAGUUUCUAAUUGGAUAGAGUGGAUAUUUUAUAAAAUAAACAUAAGAGAAUUUAAAU